AUUGAACGCUGGCGGCAGGCCUAACACAUGCAAGUCGAGCGGAUGAAGGGAGCUUGCUCCUGGAUUCAGCGGCGGACGGGUGAGUAAUGCCUAGGAAUCUGCCUGGUAGUGGGGGAUAACGUCCGGAAACGGGCGCUAAUACCGCAUACGUCCUGAGGGAGAAAGUGGGGGAUCUUCGGACCUCACGCUAUCAGAUGAGCCUAGGUCGGAUUAGCUAGUUGGUGGGGUAAAGGCCUACCAAGGCGACGAUCCGUAACUGGUCUGAGAGGAUGAUCAGUCACACUGGAACGGAGAACGGGUCCAGACCCCUACGGGAGGCAGCAGUGGGGAAUUUUGGACAAGGGGCGAAAGCCUGAUCCAGCCAUGCCGGGUGUGGGAAGAAGGUCUUCGGAUUGUAAAGCACUUUAAGUUGGGAGGAAGGGCAGUAAGUUAAUACCUUGCUUUUUUGACGUUACCAACAGAAUAAGCACCGGCUAACUUCGU
rnacentral:rRNA from 1 species